CCUACGGGUUGCAGCAGUGGGGAAUAUUGCACAAUGGGCGCAAGCCUGAUGCAGCCAUGCCGCGUGUAUGAAGAAGGCCUUCGGGUUGUAAAGUACUUUCAGUCGGGAGGAAGGCGGUGAGCUUAAUACGCUCAUCAAUUGACGUUACCGACAGAAGAAGCACCGGCUAACUCCGUGCCAGCAGCCGCGGUAAUACGGAGGGUGCAAGCGUUAAUCGGAAUUACUGGGCGUAAAGCGCACGCAGGCGGUUGAUUGAGUCAGAUGUGAAAUCCCCGGGCUUAACCCGGGAAUUGCAUCUGAUACUGGUCAGCUAGAGUCUUGUAGAGGGGGGUAGAAUUCCAUGUGUAGCGGUGAAAUGCGUAGAGAUGUGGAGGAAUACCGGUGGCGAAGGCGGCCCCCUGGACAAGGACUGACGCUCAGGUGCGAAAGCGUGGGGAGCAAACAGGAUUAGAUACCCCCGUAGUC
rnacentral:rRNA from 1 species